rnacentral:rRNA from 1 species
UUUAACGGCUGCGGUAUUUUGACCGUGCUAAGGUAGCAUAAUCAAUUGUUUUUUAAUUGAAAACUAGUAUGAACGGUUUAAUUUACUUAAUUAGUUUGUAAUUUUUAAUAGCAAGUUAAAUAUAAAGUAAGAAUUCUUUAAUAAAUUAGGGGACGAUAAGACCCUAAAAGCUUUAUGAUUGGCAUUUAAUUGGUGAUAGCGGUGUUAUUAAUUCACUGGGGCAGUGAGUUUAGGUAUAUUUAAGUAUAAUUAAAAGCUCCUUUAAAUAAAGAUUUCAUGUAUAAGUUACUUUAGGGAUAACAGUGCAAUAUAUU